UACGAAGGGGGCUAGCGUUGCUCGGAAUCACUGGGCGUAAAGCGCACGUAGGCGGAUUGUUAAGUCAGGGGUGAAAUCCUGGAGCUCAACUCCAGAACUGCCUUUGAUACUGGCGAUCUUGAGUCCGGGAGAGGUGAGUGGAACUCCGAGUGUAGAGGUGGAAUUCGUAGAUAUUCGGAAGAACACCAGUGGCGAAGGCGGCUCACUGGCCCGGUACUGACGCUGAUGUGCGAAAGCGUGGGGAGCAAACAGG
rnacentral:rRNA from 1 species